UCCCUGGUGGUCUAGUGUUUAGGAUUCGGCGCUCUCACCGCCGUGGCCUGGGUUCGUUUCCGGUCAGGGAA
rnacentral:tRNA from 1 species